UAAGGCCGAUGGCGACCGGCGCACGGGUGAGUAACACGUAUCCAACCUGCCGUCUACUCUUGGACAGCCUUCUGAAAGGAAGAUUAAUACAAGAUGGCAUCAUGAGUCCGCAUGUUCACAUGAUUAAAGGUAUUCCGGUAGACGAUGGGGAUGCGUUCCAUUAGAUAGUAGGCGGGGUAACGGCCCACCUAGUCUUCGAUGGAUAGGGGUUCUGAGAGGAAGGUCCCCCACAUUGGAACUGAGACACGGUCCAAACUCCUACGGGAGGCAGCAGUGAGGAAUAUUGGUCAAUGGGCGCAGGCCUGAACCAGCCAAGUAGCGUGAAGGAUGACUGCCCUAUGGGUUGUAAACUUCUUUUAUAAAGGAAUAAAGUCGGGUAUGUAUACCCGUUUGCAUGUACUUUAUGAAUAAGGAUCGGCUAACUCCGUGCCAGCAGCCGCGGUAAUACGGAGGAUCCGAGCGUUAUCCGGAUUUAUUGGGUUUAAAGGGAGCGUAGAUGGAUGUUUAAGUCAGUUGUGAAAGUUUGCGGCUCAACCGUAAAAUUGCAGUUGAUACUGGAUAUCUUGAGUGCAGUUGAGGCAGG
rnacentral:rRNA from 1 species